UAGAGUUUGAUCAUGGCUCAGAUUGAACGCUGGCGGCAGGCCUAACACAUGCAAGUCGAACGGUCACAGGAAUCAGCUUGCUGAUUUGCUGACGAGUGGCGGACGGGUGAGUAAUGUCUGGGAAACUGCCUGAUGGAGGGGGAUAACUACUGGAAACGGUAGCUAAUACCGCGUAACGUCGCAAGACCAAAGAGGGGGACCUUCGGGCCUCUUGCCAUCGGAUGUGCCCAGAUGGGAUUAGCUAGUAGGUGGGGUAACGGCUCACCUAGGCAACGAUCCCUAGCUGGUCUGAGAGGAUGACCAGCCACACUGGAACUGAGACACGGUCCAGACUCCUACGGGAGGCAGCAGUGGGGAAUAUUGCACAAUGGGCGCAACCUGAUGCAGCCAUGCCGCGUGUAUGAAGAAGGCCUUCGGGUUGUAAAGCUUUUCCAGCGGGGAGGAAGGGAGUAAAGUUAAUACCUUUGCUCAUUGACGUUACCCGCAGAAGAAGCACCGGCUAACUCCGUGCCAGCAGCCGCGGUAAUACA
rnacentral:rRNA from 1 species